rnacentral:rRNA from 1 species
CCUACGGGAGGCAGCAGUAGGGAAUCUUCCACAAUGGGCGAAAGCCUGAUGGAGCAACGCCGCGUGGGGGAAGAAGGUCUUCGGAUCGUAAAACACUGUUGUUAGAGAAGAAGGAGCGUGAGAGUAACUGUUCACGUUUCGACGGUAUCUAACCAGAAAGCUACGGCUAACUACGUGCCAGCAGCCGCGGUAAUACGUAGGUGGCAAGCGUUAUCCGGAUUUAUUGGGCGUAAAGGGAACGCAGCCGGUCUUUUAAGUUUGAUGUGAUAGCCUUCGGCUUAAACGG